CUUUUCUAGGGCCGCUCUCGCGGCAUAUGGAGGUUCCCAGGCUACGGGUCGAAUCGGAGCUGUAGCCGCCGGCCUACACCAGAGCCACAGCAAUGCAGACUUCAGCACAGCUCACAGCAACGCCGAAUCCUUAACCCACUGAGCAAGGCCAGGGAUCGAACCCGCAACCCCAUGGUUCCCAGUCGGAUUCCUUAACCACUGCGCCACAACGGGAACUCCUCUUUUUCCAUUCACAUUUUAGCACACUGAUUGCUGGGUUUUGGUUUUCGGUUGAUUGUUGCUCCAGUUUAUCAAAUAUGUUUCUUGUGUCUAUUGACAGAUGCAUUUUUUUCUUUCUUGAAGAUGUGAUUAAACUAGAUAUUUUUCAUAAUGUUGAAUUAUCCUUGUAUUUCUGGAAUAAAUAGCCAAUAGUUAACACAUUUUUAGCACUUAUUACAUAUAUUCCAGGAAUGUUAUAUAUAUGAAUUCACUUAAUAAAUCUACCUGAUCAUGACUCAUAGUUAUACUGCCAAAUUUGAAUUGCCAAAUGUAAAUAUAAUCUAAAUAUAGAACUUGUCAAUAUAGAACUUAUAGCUGAAAUUUAUUUAUAUUAUUUAAUUUACUAUUAAUAAUUUUAUGUAAUUUGAAUUGCCCAAUGUAAAUAUAAUAUAUAGAAUUUAUAAUGUAAAUAUAGAACUUAUAUUUAUUGCUGAAAUGUAUCUAUGUUUAUUAUUACAUUAUAUAUUACAUUUAUAUUUACAUAUGUAAAUAUAGCACUUAUAACUGAAAUUGAACAAAACUUAGAGUUUUAUAUCUUUUACUAUUAUUAUUACUUUUUUCCUACUAUUUCAUCACCUCUAUUGACCUGAAAGAUCCUUGAAAAUCAGUGUCUUACUACACAGUCAGUAUCUUGCAAGAGCAUGUGAUUGACGUUUGUUGAAUGAUUAAAAAUGCUUAACAGAUCUAAAGUAAGUCUAUUUUUUGAAAAUCAGCAUUUAUUCUGUAAUACAAACUUUAAUUUCACACACUUAAAAAUAUUUGCAAGAUAUCAAAAUAUGUAAUGGCUAAAUUUACUAUUAAUUAAACUAGAUUUUCUGAGGAUAUGUAUGCAUUUCAGAACUCUGAUAGGCUAAAAAUUGUUGCUUCUCCUAUCUCCUUAAAUGUCUCUUCACAGAGUUUUUAAAUUCUCCAACAUUUAAUUAGCAGCAAUAAUUACUUUUGCGUACUUUAGCGUUACUGCCUUUUGUUUUGUGAGGUAGAUUAUAUCAAAAUUAUUUCUUUUUCCAGAAGAUUAAAGACAAAUUAGUGGAAGAUAUGCAUCAAAGAUUCUUAAUGUAUGAAACCAUUUCCAACAAAAUGCUUUUUAUUUAAGUCAAAAUUGGAUUUCCAUGGUUUGGGGCUUCAGGGCUUCUAAGAGCCUUGCUCCCACAGAUUUAAGACUUGAACUAGACAUCAAAGGUUAUCAUGUGGCUCAUUCAAGGCAAUAGCUGAAGGAUUUGGCAACUGCUUUCUAUGGUUUAGCUUUGCUUGAAUCCUCCCCUUCAAAGCAGCUGUUACUCUGUCCUUGCGAUUAAGGACAAGAUGUUCUAUUUGUAUGUUUGUAUGUUUUUUCAAUUGUAUUUUAAGGAUCUUCUCUGUGCACGGGAAAAUACUGGCAGACAGGUAAGUAAAAUACAUCCUUUGCUACCAAGGAUUGUGCUAUGUAAGGGGGAGACCACAUGCUGACUCAAGUUUUCUAUAGAAAUAAUAUCGUGCGACAGAUUCUUUUUUUCAAUAUCAAAACAGAAGGAAGAAAAAAACCUGUCACAAGGAGAGGAGUACAGGAUGGAAUCGGCACCCUGAGGGCUUUUUCCUCAUUUGUUUUUUUCUGUUGUUUCAAUUCUAGGUUCUGAUAUUUUUGUGGGUUGGGAGGAAUGAUUGGGCAUUUAGGAUCAUGAUCACAAAGGAUUUUUUUUCGGUCAUCCUCUCGCCAUGGUCUAAAGCAGUAAUGUAAACUCUGAUAAUGGAAAUUAUUUCACCACUGUUUUGCACCUUCGCUGCUAUAACCCAAAUUUUCAUAAUAAGGAGUGACUGAUAGAUAUCCUUUUUACUGAAAAACAGUAGUUGUAUAAACCUCAGGCUAAAUUUGUUUGAGAAAAUACUGUAUUUUGCUGGAUUAUGUAGCCUGAAAGUGACCUAAAGUGCAUUUUAUUAUCAGUUUAUUUAUCUUAGCCUAUGUGGUUUCUGUGUGUGUGUGUGAUACUCAUGAUUAAUGGUGUCAAAACCCCACACAAUUUUGAACACUACAAAAAUAAAGAGGCAGUUUGAUGAUUAUCAUCUAAUUUUAGAAGAAAAUCAUGGCACAGAAUUGUCGUUUGCUUAUAUUAAGUAUAGUCUCCAUUACUACCUUGUAUUUUCAUCUUUCACUUUACCUCUGAAUAUAGAUUCUUCUUUUCCUAAGUGUUCCUGAGCUAUGAUUUAAAGAUAAGCAACUAAGAAAUGCACGUAGUUUAUAGGGUGUUAAGUGACAAGCAAGAGGAUCUAUUUCAGGAAAUUAAAAUGGCAACUUGAGGGAUUUUACUUUUCUUUAAAUUAGGUUUAUUAAAUACAAAUUUUCUCAUUUAUAUCAAUUCCGUGAUAUUUCAAAACACUAGAAAGUUGUUAGUUUAAAACUUCACACAAUUGAUUUAAAGAAGAGAUUUGUUUAAAGUUUUUCACCAACUCUCUAGAAUGCCAGUCAUAGUAUAAAGUGCCAGACCCACUAUCAAUUUUGGGGAGGGGGGGCAUGAUCAUAGAAUGCAGAGGAUCCUGGGGCUAAGGAUCGAACCCAUGCUACUACAGUGACAACACUGGCUCCAUAACCCGCUGAGCCACUAGGGAACUCCAAGACUUAUCUAUUUUUAAUAUGGUGUCAGCAGCCCCUGUAUUGUAUGUCUUAAGAACUAUUCAGUUUUCGGUACAUUUCUUGAUUGUUUUUUAAGGUUUUUUGUUUGAUUUUUGUUGUUUCCUUUUUAAAAUGUGGAUGCUAUUUUCAUGGGGGAAAAAUAAUGCACAGACCAAAAGAAGAAAAUUACAUUGAGUCAAUGUUAAUGGAAAUUGACUUCGGUUUUACAAAGGAACACUUUCGAGUUGUGAAGUUUUGAGUUUUGUCUUAGUUUCAUCAAAAUCUCUCAGAUUUUUAUGAACGCAAUUGAAAUCAGGAGAUGAUCCCAAAGGAGAGACUGGGGGGAGCGGUGAAAAUAGACCAUUUCAGUUGCACAGCAACAUCUUUUCUGUUUUGAAAAUAAAUCUUUGCAGGUGUGUUUCCGAUCUAGCUUUCUUGCUCAAGGAAGAAUGUUUAUCAUUUUCUGAAUUUACCAGCAAUUGGUGUGCGCUGAGGGCUCAUUUAUUUCUUACAAAAUGUCGCUAACUCACUCCUGUCCUCUUAAAUUUAAAACAGCUGCUACCCACUGGCAGGAUCUAAAUCUUAACAGAGACAGAAUUCCAGACUCCGUAUGCCUGUAUUACACUCUUGUUAAUAACCAUCUCUGUCUGUCAAGGUGACAGCGGGACAAUGUGGGUCCUACACUCACAUUUUCUCUGUCCCUGUGUAAAAAGCUAAAGCUUUUAUUUUGUUAAUAAAGACCUAUGAUUUAAUUUAAAAAAACUCUUCUGAUUAUUGAAGCACUAUAAUUUGGUUUUGCUUGAAGCACUCUAACUUCCAAUAUUGUUUCCUUUCUCUGCAGUUAUAUUUUUAAUAUUAUCUGGGAGUUAGGGUAGCUUAUUUACUGAGAGAAAGUAGCAGAGGGAUCCAAACUCAAUGUUAAAAGGCAAGGCAAAUUUGAGGAAAGAAACAUAGUCUUUAAAUUUUCAAUUGUUUAGGAUUUUAUUUCCAGAUUCCAUUUUCAUAAUGUAGAAUUUACAAUCUCAACAUUUAUUUGGAAACAAGACAACAAUUUCAACUUUUUCAUGACCGCCUCACUGUUGAAAAUAAGAGUUUUGACAUAAGCUUCACCUGGAUUCUCAGUCAAGGAUACUCUUUUCAUUUUUACCUUCUUUUGACCCGGUUGCCUUGCCCAAAAGCUAUCAUUUUGUUUUCCUUUCUCUUUGGUUUUCUUGCAGAACAACUGUUCAGUUUCUAUAAAGAUAAAUUCAUCUGUCUUGAAAAAUGCUAAAGAUUAUUUUCAUGCAGAAGAUAAAUCACUGGAAGAGACAGUAAAGAAUUCAAAAGGUACUUCACGUUCUACCAGAGCGAAAUCCAAAUCUUUCUCCUCCGCAGUGAAUUCAUGGUUUCCUGGAAGAUAAGAUCUCAUCCUGUUAAGGACUUCGUCUUAGAAAAGAAGAGAACAUAAUCUCUCAGGGGAACUGCAGGAUCAUAAUUCCUAAAAUCAAAUAUAUCAAUAAACACAGCUCUUACUUUAAAAUAGUCAACCAAGUCUCCAGAACUUAGAGUGUAAAAAGUUGAUGUCAAAUUGUAAUAUCCUAUAAUAACAUCAGUCUGUAAAAGAGAACAAAUGAUUGUUUAAUUAGUUUAAAGUUUUAUUCUCAUAAAUAAAAUCCAAAUGCUUGGUCAUCAUUCAUA
rnacentral:lncRNA from 1 species